GAUUGCAGGAUUGCACCGCGUAUGCUUCGGCCUUCUUUGAUGAAGAGAUAGAUGAACCCCUUGUGAAUUAUCAAAGACUGAAUCCCCAUCAGGCAACCAGACAGCUUCCAGGCAUUAUACAGGCAACGUCAUCCAAACAGCUUUCAGGCAGCAUCCCAGCACCAUACCAACCAAGCAACCAGACAGCAUCCAGGAACCACACCAAGCAACCGGAUAUCAUCUAGGCACCACAUUAAGCAACCAGACAACAUCCAGACACCACACCAAGUAACAAGACAGGCACCACACCAAGCAACCAGGCAGGCACCACACCAAGUAUCCAGACAACAUCCAGGCACCACAACAAGCAACCAGACAGCAUCCAGGCACCACACCAAGCAACCAAACAGCAUCUAGGAACCACACCUAGCAACCAGACAGCAUCUAGGCACCACACCUAGCACCCAGACAGCAUCUAGGCACCACACCAAGCAACCAGACAUCAUCCAGGCACCACAACAAGCAACCAGACAGCAUCCAGGCACCACACCAAGCAUCCAGACAACAUCUAGGCACCACACCUAGCACUCAGACAGCAUCUAGCCAUCACAAUCAACCAGACAGCAUCUAGGCAUCACAUCAAGCAACCAGGCCGCCUUCAGGCACUUUAUCAAACAAAUGAUCCUUGAUGCAAUCAGUGGAGGUCUCACCAUUCCAUCUCCUCAUGUCCCUGAAGCAGGGAAGACAGGCCCAUGAUGAAUGCAGCACCAGUAUCUUGGUUCUCUCACCUGGCAGCUAGUGCUCGUUAUCACUGUUGGCCAUCACAGUCAGUGUCGUUGAUAUAGAACACAUCUAUAAUACUCAGGAUUUUCGAAACAGGAUGCACCACGGGCGCCACCUGUAAAGUACUUGCCGUUGACAUUGUGAGUCAGCAUCUGUAGACUUGCCUUCCCGACUUCCUACCGUUUGACCCAAGACACUCUCAUGGACAUACAGAUGAAGAAGCAGAAUGUGCAUUAGAGGACUCUCGCAGAGAACACAUCAAUCUAGAAACUGAAAUGACAUCUGAAAGUAGGCCUAUCCAAAUCAAAUUCAGCUGUUGGCAAUAUCUUGCCAUUUGACAGCUCUGCAACUAACCUGUUGUCGACCAAGACUUCAACCUCGUUUAAUUCGAGCGAUUCCCGCCAAGUUCAUCCUGAGCUACUAUUGGAAGUAGAUACAUGCUCAAGUACACAUCACCAUCCAUACAGCCUGGUCAGCGAGGAGUGGAACAUAGCCGGAGUUUACAGUCCUUGUAAAGGUUAUGAACUACCGUUGCUGACAAAACUAAAGCUAUUAGUUAUUACUCUCAAUCUUUAACUUUGAAGGUCAAGGGGUCAAGCCCACCCCAGAAAAUGUAUAUUUGAAUUGAUAGAGAAAUCAAACAAUCAUAAUGUUGAAAACUUCAUCAAAAUCCUUUCGCUUAUUUUUCACAAGACAGUUAUUUGGAAAACUCAGUGACAUGCAAAUGAGAGAGUCGGUGAUGUCCCUAUCUCACUAUUUCUCUUUUUUAUUUUUACCGUUUUAAUUACACAAAUAUUCCCAUUUUUACAGAUUUGACAUAAAGGGCCAACUUUACUGAACCAUAAAAUAUUAAAACAAUGGCAGUACCACAUGUUCAGGGAGAAAUAUAACUUUGUUUCACAGGACUAUUAGAUUAGAAUAUCUCAUAUUUUAUGUAAUAACCUACAAAAUAAAUAUUGAUUGGAUGACGCCUUCAAUACGUCAAUCCCCUCAUUUGCAAAUCGAACAGGAUGUGCAUACAUAGGGGAAGGCGGGGUAAGUUGUGACACUUUUUGCAUUUUGCAUGUUAGAAUUGAUAUGACUAAUAAUAUUGUAAAAAUAAGUACCUUGCCUUUAAAUUUGAUUCUUGGGAAAUAUUUUCACCUAUAUAUAACUUUCUACCCCCACACUGAAAUUCAUUGUGACCUUUGAAAAAAUCGAUGUCAAAUGGCUCAACUUGCCCCAUAUGUGGGGUAAGUUGUGCCACCUUCUGUGGUAAGUUGAGCAAAAAAAACUAUGUACAAAAUGUAUGCGGGAAGAAGCAGCAUGUCAAUUUUUCAUUUCAAGUCUUUUCACUUGCUAAUUCUCUAUAAAUACUAACAUCCUCUAAAAGUAAAUAAACUGUCAUGUAAAUUUACACCUUUCUGCCUGCAUAUCAAUGACUUUUCGAGUUUUUUUAAAUUUUUCAUUCUUAUUACCAUAAGAAUUACCAUGGCUCAACUUGCCCCAUGUUGGCUGGCUCAAAGUACCCCAGUCCGAACUUAAUGCGAUAUUUUCACAUCCACACAUUUCUUAUGCAUCCAUCAUUUAAAAGACUAUGACAAGAAUGAAGAUCCAUACCUGGACUAACAAUAUUGUUCUUAUUUCUUUAUUAUAUUUAAAGACGUGUGUGGGUAAAAGCGCUCCUCUAUUUUACACCCUUUUUUACUUUUUUGGCUGAAAUUUGUAUUUUUCCGUCUAAAAAGUACUUUUUGUUUCAAAGUCAGAAACAAUAUGGUUGGGUAAAGGGUUAUGUAAUGGGUCAUCAAUACAUGACACCACCACAAUGUCUGACUCAUUCAUUAUUGGCUGGGGGUGGUGGCUCAACUUGCCCCUAUGCUCAACUUACCCCGUCUUCCCCUACUGUUUUGUGAAAUUAAAUAAUUACUUAUUCGACAUCCGAUUUUGAUGAAAGUUUCAGUGUUGUACUUGUUGGAUCUUUCUCUUUUUAUUCAAAUCAACUUUUGUCGGGGUGGACUUAUCCUUUAAUAUUCAGUUUGGGAUCAUCUCUGGCAUUUAAUUCCAGUAGAGAUUUCGUUUUAACUUUCAUGGGCAAAAGUGAAAGAAAAUGUAUUUUAAGAAUAAAAUUUUUGAUUGAAUAUGACGACGUACAUAUCCAUGUAUAUAUAUCUGAAAAAAAAAUAAGUUUCAAAUAUGACGAACACGAAGAAAAGCAACUAGCAUAAAAACAUAGAAUGGGCUUAAUUUCAGUGUUAACGCCCGUCUGCAAUCGAGAGGGGAGCAAUAAGAAAAAAUACCCCGCAAAACGUUACAUUAUCCUUGUACUUAUUAGUCCUUUCUCGUUUCAAUUAUAUUUUAGAUAACCAAACUCUAUAGUUCCGUCAGCGACAGGAGCGCGCUUACAUUUAUUUCGGCCUGUGCGAGUUUGUAAUAAGUAGGCCUUAUUCAAAUCAAUAUCAAAUUAGUAUGUGUCAUAUAUGCCUAUUUCGAUACAAUAUACACUAUAGUAUUCAUUUGCAUCUCUGCGAACAAAAUUCCAUGCAAUUAUUUCUGUAUAGUUUAUUGUUAGUAGUUGGUUUAAUUUUAGUGCUCCCAUGCCCCAGUACUUUAUGAAUAUAUAUAUCUAAUUUUGGAUGCCUUGAAUAUUAUGACCAGAAGCUACAGGUGAAGGCAAAGAAACCGUUUUUUCUAUUAUUCACAAUUGCAAGGACCUACUACAAAUCGUUGUAGAUCCAUGACAAUUGUAAUGAUUUCAUACUCUCAGAUUUGAUUACUAUUGCUAUGAACAUCAUAGUUCAUCCUCGUUCAGACAUAAUCUGCCGAACUUUUCAUAAAUGAAAUAAUGAAUAGAUGAAUUAAUAGUUUGAAUAAAUGGAUAAGUAAGUGAAUAU